rnacentral:rRNA from 1 species
GACGUAGGGCGCGAGCGUUGUCCGGAUUUAUUGGGCGUAAAGAGCUCGUAGGCGGCUUUGUCGCGUCGUCCGUGAAAACUUGGGGCUCAACCCCCAAGCUUGCGGUCGAUACGGGCAGGCUAGAGUUCGGGUAGGGGAGACUGGAAUUCCUGGUGUAGCGGUGAAAUGCGCAGAUAUCAGGAGGAACACCGGUGGCGAAGGCGGGUCUCUGGGCCGAUACUGACGCUGAGGAGCGAAAGCGUGGGGAGCGAACAGG